rnacentral:rRNA from 1 species
UGGGGAAUAUUGGUCAAUGGACGAGAGUCUGAACCAGCCAAGUUGCGUGCAGGAUGACGGCCCUAUGGGUUGUAAACUGCUUUUGUUUGGGAAUAAUCGACAUUACGUGUAAUGUUUUGCAUGUACCAUUCGAAUAAGGACCGGCUAAUUCCGUGCCAGCAGCCGCGGUAAUACGGAAGGUCCAGGCGUUAUCCGGAUUUAUUGGGUUUAAAGGGAGUGUAGGCGGUUGGUUAAGCGUGUUGUGAAAUGUAGAUGCUCAACAUCUGACUUGCAGCGCGAACUGGCUGACUUGAGUGCGCACAACGUAGGCGGAAUUCAUGGUGUAGCGGUGAAAUGCUUAGAUAUCAUGAAGAACUCCGAUUGCGAAGGCAGCUUACGGGAGCGCAACUGACGCUGAAGCUCGAAGGUGCGGGUAUCGAACAGG